GACGAACGCUGGCGGCGUGCUUAACACAUGCAAGUCGAACGGAAAGGCCCUGCUUUUGUGGGGUGCUCGAGUGGCGAACGGGUGAGUAACACGUGAGUAACCUGCCCUUGACUUUGGGAUAACUUCAGGAAACUGGGGCUAAUACCGGAUAGGAGCUCCUGCUGCAUGGUGGGGGUUGGAAAGUUUCGGCGGUUGGGGAUGGACUCGCGGCUUAUCAGCUUGUUGGUGGGGUAGUGGCUUACCAAGGCUUUGACGGGUAGCCGGCCUGAGAGGGUGACCGGCCACAUUGGGACUGAGAGACGGCCAAGACGCAUACGGGAGGCAGCAGUGGGGAAUAUUGCAAAAUGGGCGGAAGCCUGAUGCAGCAACGCCGCGUGCGGGAUGACGGCCUUCGGGUGGUAAACCGCUUUCGCCUGUGACGAAGCGUGAGUGACGGGAAUGGGCAAAGAAGCACCGGCUAACUACGU
rnacentral:rRNA from 1 species